UUCGCAAUGCCCGAAAGGGUGACGAAGCGACGCCGCGUGGGUGAAGAAGGCCUUCGGGUUGUAAAACCCUGUCAGGAGUUAUGAAAUGUAAGUGCGCUAAUAUCGUGCUUAUUUGACAAAGGCUCCAAAGGAAGCCACGGCUAACUCUGUGCCAGCAGCCGCGGUAAUACAGAGGUGGCGAGCGUUGUUCGGAAUUAUUGGGCGUAAAGAGCACGUAGGUGGGUUUGCAAGUCAGAUGUGAAAGCCUUCUGUUCAACGGGAGAAUAGCAUCUGAAACUGCUAAUCUUGAGUAUAGGAGGGGAGAAUGGAACUUCUGGUGGAGCGGUGAAAUGCGUAGAUAUCAGAAGGAAUGCCGGCGGCGAAAGCGAUUCUCUGGCCUAUUACUGACACUCAGUGUGCGAAAGCUAGGGGAGCAAACGGGAUUAG
rnacentral:rRNA from 1 species